GGAAGAUCGGCCUGGACGAAAUCCUCGCCAAACCGGUCAGGUCGGGAACGAAGCAGCCGUAACGAGUGUUUUUCGGGUCAGUGUCCGGUCUUCCACU
rnacentral:SRP_RNA from 1 species